rnacentral:rRNA from 1 species
AUUGAACGCUGGCGGCAGGCCUAACACAUGCAAGUCGAGCGGAUGAAGGGAGCUUGCUCCUGGAUUCAGCGGCGGACGGGUGAGUAAUGCCUAGGAAUCUGCCUGGUAGUGGGGGAUAACGUCCGGAAACGGGCGCUAAUACCGCAUACGUCCUGAGGGAGAAAGUGGGGGAUCUUCGGACCUCACGCUAUCAGAUGAGCCUAGGUCGGAUUAGCUAGUUGGUGGGGUAAAGGCCUACCAAGGCGACGAUCCGUAACUGGUCUGAGAGGAUGAUCAGUCACACUGGAACUGAGACACGGUCCAGACUCCUACGGGAGGCAGCAGUGGGGAAUAUUGGGCAAUGGGCGAAAGCCUGAUCCAGCCAUGCCGCGUGUGUGAAGAAGGUCUUCGGAUUGUAAAGCACUUUAAGUUGGGAGGAAGGGCAGUAAGUUAAUACCUUGCUGUUUUGACGUUACCAGCAGAAUAAGCACCGGCUAACUUCGUG